GUGAACGCUGGCGGUAGGCCUAACACAUGCAAGUCGAACGGCAGCACAGUAAGAGCUUGCUCUUACGGGUGGCGAGUGGCGGACGGGUGAGGAAUACAUCGGAAUCUACUUUUUCGUGGGGGAUAACGUAGGGAAACUUACGCUAAUACCGCAUACGACCUACGGGUGAAAGCAGGGGAUCUUCGGACCUUGCGCGAUUGAAUGAGCCGAUGCCGGAUUAGCUAGUUGGCGGGGUAAAGGCCCACCAAGGCGACGAUCCGUAGCUGGUCUGAGGGGAUGAUCAGCCACACUGGAACUGAGACACGGUCCAGACUCCUACGGGAGGCAGCAGUGGGGAAUAUUGGACAAUGGGCGCAAGCCUGAUCCAGCCAUACCGCGUGGGUGAAGAAGGCCUUCGGGUUGUAAAGCCCUUUUGUUGGGAAAGAAAAGCAGCAGGUUAAUACCCCGCUGUUCUGACGGUACCCAAAGAAUAAGCACCGGCUAACUUCGUG
rnacentral:rRNA from 1 species